AUGCAAAACUGGCUAAAGACUAGAAGAAUACCCAGUGUGUAGUGGCUGCAAAUAGUAGCCUCUUUGGUAGUGUAGGCGGCCUGUUGACUACAGGGUUCCCCAAGGGACCUUGGAGAGAGGC
rnacentral:snoRNA from 1 species